UUUAUUGUCAAUUUCUUUACAUGCACUGGUCAUACAAAGAAUUUGAAAUUGCGGAACCAUCAAGGCCAUAAGAAAACGUGCCACUUGACCAAAAAAAAGGGCUUCAUAAAUACUUCCAUAAGUCAAAAUGUAAUUACGCUGUUGGGGAUUGAGAAUACCAUCAUGUAUUAUAGCACACCGACCACUCCUCACCUUCCUCCAUGAGCUAACCAGCUUGAUAUGACUGUACACCCAUGGAGUAAUUGUACAUUAGCAUAAGGCUGAAUACAAGGGUGCCAUGCUGAAGACCUUGGCCGCAUCAUGUAUGUACUUUAAAUCUGUCAUGAAAGACAUUCUAUACAGGUAUUUAUGUACACACAGUGAUGUGUACACGUGUUGGGUCUGCCUGUGGUACAUAGACAUUAUAGCUCUUAAGAACAUCAGCUGCAUCUUGUUAUAUGGGACGUACCAUACCACACUCAUUGUGAAAGCAAAUAAAAAUGGAUUUUGCAUCAUAAA